UACGUAGGGUGCGAGCGUUAAUCGGAAUUACUGGGCGUAAAGCGUGCGCAGGCGGUUUUGUAAGCCAGAUGUGAAAUCCCCGGGCUUAACCUGGGAAUGGCAUUUGGGACUGCAAGGCUUGAGUGCGGCAGGGGAGACUGGAAUUCCUGGUGUAGCAGUGAAAUGCGUAGAUAUCAGGAGGAAUACCGAUGGCGAAGGCAGGUCUCUGGGCUGACACUGACGCUCAUGCACGAAAGCGUGGGGAGCAAACAGG
rnacentral:rRNA from 1 species